rnacentral:rRNA from 1 species
GUAGGGUGCAAGCGUUGUCCGGAAUUAUUGGGCGUAAAGAGCUCGUAGGCGGUCCGUCGCGUCGGGAGUGAAAACUCGGGGCUUAACCCCGAGCGUGCUUCCGAUACGGGCGGACUAGAGGUAGGUAGGGGAGAACGGAAUUCCUGGUGUAGCGGUGGAAUGCGCAGAUAUCAGGAGGAACACCGGUGGCGAAGGCGGUUCUCUGGGCCUUACCUGACGCUGAGGAGCGAAAGUGUGGGGAGCGAACAGGAUUAGAUACCCUGGUAGUCCACACCGUAAACGUUGGGCGCUAGGUGUGGGGGACAUUCCACGUCCUCCGUGCCGCAGCUAACGCAUUAAGCGCCCCGCCUGGGGAGUACGGCCGCAAGGCUAAA